AGCAGUGAUGAGUCAGAUAAAAUCUGACCUGGUAUUGCUAGAUUACGUGCACUGACCAGGAUAUGAUCACUUAAUCUUCUCUCUGAGCUG